GCCGAGCUUGGUAACUCUAGCUUGUAACCCAAAUGGGGGCAACAAAGUGAUGGAACAUGGUAUGUGCCACGCUCGGUUGGGCUGGUGGAUGCAUUAUGCAGGCCUGCCCGCUCCAAGUUAGGAGUCGAGCAAUGGGACUUGGGCGAAGGCCCGGGUCUCCCUGUUCCUAAAGUGGAGGGCACAGCGUGAGGCUGGCUUCACAGAGCAGCGAUUACCUCCCUCUCCUCACAGUGGAGGGAUAACAGGCCUCUGCUCCCUCAGCCCACUAUAACCGGGUGUGCCAUACUCCUGAACCAUCUCUUUU
rfam:Cajanus cajan CcLG06_1308, whole genome shotgun sequence.